rnacentral:sRNA from 1 species
CGGGUUUGUUCACUCUUUCAGCGCAAUCGGGGUUUGUUUUCCAAAGCAUGCGCUAAGUGUUCUCCUGGCGCGUCUUGAAGCCACAGGCGUUUCCUCCCUUGCCUGUCGGUGAUGCGCCCGCCUCGCCUCGCUCGCUGUACCAGCUGAGCGGGGCAUCUU